rnacentral:rRNA from 1 species
UACGAAGGGUGCAAGCGUUACUCGGAAUUACUGGGCGUAAAGCGUGCGUAGGUGGUUUUUUAAGUCCGUUGUGAAAGCCCAGGGCUCAACCUGGGAAUGGCAGUGGAUACUGGAAAGCUAGAGUGCGGUAGAGGGUAGUGGAAUUCCCGGUGUAGCAGUGAAAUGCGUAGAGAUCGGGAGGAACACCAGUGGCGAAGGCGGCUACCUGGACCAGCACUGACACUGAGGCACGAAAGCGUGGGGAGCAAACAGG